CCGACACACACUCCGCCCGACACACACACUCCCGCACACACAGAUCCUUGCAAGAGCGAAGGAUCUCACUUCUGUACCUCCUCAGAAGAAAAAGGAAGAAAACUGCUCCAGUCUUCAGCUGUGUAAGCCUUCAGAGAGAUAAACAGGGCUGCCCCUUCCUCCUCUGUAAAGACGUGGGAAGCCAGGAAUGGCGCGCAUGUGAAUGAAUCCACCUGCUCUGAUGCUGCAGGCAGUGAGGUUCUGAGUGUGAAUCCUGGGAAAUGGCGUCCAGGCAGAGGCCACGUGGGCGAGGGCCACUCUGUCGCUCUGAGGAGCUCGUGAAAGCUACUGUGUGAAUGAUGUGGCUCCCCCUCCACGCGGGAAACUGUGAGGGGCGCCUGACCACGCCGUGACAAACCAGGUGGUGGUGGGAGGCACCGUCCAGGUGUGUUGCCAUGGUGUCAGCCUGUGUCCUGCACACCAAGAAGUCACCAGAGGGCAUUCUGCUCCUUGAGGAGGUGCGCCUGUGGUCGGCACUGUGCUCUGGGCGCUUUAACUUCAUGAUUCAAGGCGUCGCAGCCUCCACCUUUCCCAUUGGAGUCUCCACAACCCCACCCCACCAACUUCAUCCAACCUGGCCUGGCACAGAGAAGCAUGGCAGGCCCGAACCUGGCUGUUUGUAGCAUCACAGCAAGUCUUCAUUGCUGACUGUCUUAUUCCAACCCUCUAACCAGAAGAGUGACCAAGGAAACCUUCCCAUCUGCAAAUCUAGAGAAAUCUGGGAGCAAAACAGUGACCCCUUGGGCCUAGCUUGUCUGUUCUGUCUGAGUCCAGCUGCUCACUGGGUCUCAGGAGGUCGGAUGCUGGAGCCCACGAGACUACGCAAGGUUUUUGCCACCCAGGAAUCUCUCAAGAGAUGGGGAACUUUCUGCCACUGUAGGCCCUGGAUGGUGCAGAG
rnacentral:lncRNA from 1 species